rnacentral:tRNA from 1 species
GCCGAAGUGGUGGAACUGGAAGACACGCCAUCUUGAGGGGGUGGUGGGCGAAAGCCCGUGCGGGUUCGAGUCCCGCCUUCGGCACCA